UGGUUGUCGUAGAUGUGUGCUGAUUUUCUGUCUUCUGGGUGUGUUCCCAGGGGUGGGAUUGCUGAUCCUAAGAAAGAUCUAUUUUCAGUUUACUGAGCCACCUCUGUGCUGCCCUCCAUACUGACUGUGUCAGCUUCCAGCCCACUGCCUUGUCCUCCACAUCCUUGCCAAUACUUGUUACUCUGAAGUGAGAGAAUAUCUCAUUGUGGUUUUUAUUUGCAUUUCUGAGAUGGCUAAGUUACUGACCACUUCGUCAUUUGUCUUUGGCCACUUAUAUUUUAUCGUUUUUGCAUCUGUGUUCUUCGGGGGGAGAACGGGGAGAUGUUACACCGCUCCAUACUGUGACUGGUCCUUACUCUGUAGGUGUGACUGGUCCUCACUCCGAAGGUGUGACUGGUCCUCACUCCGAAGGUGUGACUGGUCCUCACUCCGUAGGUGUGACUGGUCGUUACUCUCUAGGUGUGACGGGUCCUUACUCUGUAGGUGUGAUUGGUCCUCACUCCGAAGGUGUGACCGGUCCUCACUCUGUAGGUGUGACUGGCCGUUACUCUCUAGGUGUGAUUGGUCCUUACUCUAGGUGUGACGGGUCCUUACUCUCUAGUUGUGAUUGGUCCUUACUCUGUAGUUGUGACUGGUCCUACUUCAUAGGUGUGAUUGGUCCUCACUCUGUAGGUGUGACUGGUCCUUACUCUGUAGGUGUGACUGGUCCUACUCCAUAGGUGUGAUUGGUCCUUACUCCCUAGGUGUGACUGGUCCUUACUCUGUAGGUGUGACUGGUCACUCUCUAGGUGUGAUUGGUCCUCACUGUGUGGGUGUAUCCAGAUCUUAUAAGAUGUUUUUGAGUCAUUUUGCGUAGCCCAAUCUGUACUUCUCAUAUAAAAGAGAUCAAAGAACUUCCUCAGUACUUAACUGUGAGUGCCUUAUGCAGAUUCUAGCCUUAAUUUGAGAAUGUUAAGAAUUAUAUCUAGUUAACAUCCCUGUUUUUGAAAUGUGACCCUCUCUAUGGGUACAGUUCUGCAAAGUGUUCUGAACAGUUAUCAACAAUCACAGGUCGCAACCCCUCCCUCGUAACCUCUUGGCUUUAAUCAGUUUGGUUUAGGGUU